UACGGAGGGUGCAAGCGUUGCUCGGAAUUAUUGGGCGUAAAGGGUAGGUAGGUGGUCUCAUUUGUCUGGGGUGAAAGCCUUGAGCUUAACUCGAGAAGUGCCCCAGAAACGGUGAGACUGGAGUCCUGGAGAGGGUCGUGGAAUUCCCGGUGUAGCGGUGAAAUGCGUAGAGAUCGGGAGGAACACCGGUGGCGAAGGCGG
rnacentral:rRNA from 1 species